UAGGGAAUCUUCCGCAAUGGGCGAAAGCCUGACGGAGCAACGCCGCGUGAGUGAUGAAGGUCUUCGGAUCGUAAAACUCUGUUAUUAGGGAAGAACAAAUGUGUAAGUAACUAUGCACGUCUUGACGGUACCUAAUCAGAAAGCCACGGCUAACUACGUGCCAGCAGCCGCGGUAAUACGUAGGUGGCAAGCGUUAUCCGGAAUUAUUGGGCGUAUAGCGCGCGUAGGCGGUUUUUUAAGUCUGAUGUGAAAGCCCACGGCUCAACCGUGGAGGGUCAUUGGAAACUGGAAAACUUGAGUGCAGAAGAGGAAAGUGGAAUUCCAUGUGUAGCGGUGAAAUGCGCAGAGAUAUGGAGGAACACCAGUGGCGAAGGCGACUUUCUGGUCUGUAACUGACGCUGAUGUGCGAAAGCGUGGGGAUCAAACAGG
rnacentral:rRNA from 1 species